GAAAUCCCCUGUUCCUAGUCGCCAUAUACACCCUUUUGUCAACUUAUACCUUUGUUGCUUCCACUGGACAGAUGGAUACGCCCAGUUGCGCGUCCAUCCUCUGGCCUCUUCACGGAGGACGGGGAGUGCUAGUGGAAAGAAUACAAUUAAAACUUUGUCUUUAGAAAACUUGUCUGACAAUAUAUUUUUUAAUAAAAUAAAACUUUCAACAACGGAUCUCUAGGCUCUUGCAUCGAUGAAAAACGCAGUGAAAUGCGAUAAGUAAUGUGAAUUGCAGAAUCUCGUGAAUCAUUGAAUCUUUGAACGCACAUUGCGCCCUAUGGUAUUCCGUAUGGCAUGCCUGUCUGAGCGUCAGCUCGUCUUCUCAAGCUCUUUUGCUUGGAUAACAUUGGAUCAGCAAUACAAGCUCCUUUUGGGGUCUGUGUGCCUUCCAGAAAUUAAUAGGCGGUACGGUUCUAGCAAACCAGACGUAAUAAUAUUCUUAUCUAUCGUUAAUUUGAUUAAACUGUUGCUUGCCUUCUAAUCCACAUCUUUUUCAAGAUGACCUCGAUCAGGUAGGGAUACCCCGCUGAACUUAACAUAUCAAUAAGCGGAGGAAAGGU
rnacentral:rRNA from 1 species